UACGAAGGGGGCUAGCGUUGCUCGGAAUGACUGGGCGUAAAGGGCGCGUAGGCGGUUUGGUCAGUUAGGUGUGAAAUUCCUGGGCUUAACCUGGGGACUGCACUUAAUACUGCCAAGCUUGAGUGUGGAAGAGGGUUGUGGAAUUCCCAGUGUAGAGGUGAAAUUCGUAGAUAUUGGAAGAACACCGGUGGCGAAGGCGGCAACCUGGUCCAUUACUGACGCUGAGGCGCGAAAGCGUGGGGAGCAAACAGG
rnacentral:rRNA from 1 species